rnacentral:lncRNA from 1 species
CUACGAUUUUGUACGUAUAGUUCAAAAUUUUUUUCUAAACAUAAAGCAGCAAAAGUAAAUAAAUUAAAAUAUUUUUAAUCUGAACAUAUAUCAGAUCUGAUCUAAAAAUCAUAGCAUAGAUCUUGAUAUGAACAUUUAACCAUGAUAUGAAAUCUAAAAAAGAAAAAUAAUCGUUAGCCAAAAAUAAGUUGGAGAUCGAAUCUCUAUACCUCGGAUCCUGCGGAUGUCUUGGGUUCUGAUUGUAGUCACACAUAUGCUCAACCUCUACUGGUAUCCACAUAGAGCCAUCUGAUUAGAACAUUGAGAUUAUUGGUGUACUAGCACCUUGCAGAUCUAUCUCCUCAUCCUUGGAUCUAGAUCGCUUUUUUUAGAUCUUGAAAAAAGAGAUCGCUAUGCGAACUCUUUCGCGCAGAUCCGAUGGGAUCUGAACCAGAUCAUCAUGAAGAGAAGAAGAACUCUUUUUCUUCUCUUCUUCUCUCUCUUUUCUCUUUUUAGAUCUGAUCUCUAUCAGAUCUAGGUGUUGGGAAGUAAGGGAGAAAGGGAAGGAGGCAUUUGGGAGGAGAGAAUGAUGUAAGAAAGAAGCCCAUCUACUAUUACACGCACCCUCUCUCCCUCUUCCUAUUUUUGUCGCACCAACUUAUCAUUUCUCACACACACCCACCUCUUAAUGCCCUAAAAGAUCAAACCCCAUUUGAUCUAAGCCAUUCAAAACCAAAUCAAAGGUUGGAAGGGUGUUGAGAUAAAGUUCAUGCUGCAAGAAAGAAAUCUCCACUCCUUAUUAGCGCACGUCCAGAUUUCAAGAAUUUUUUAUCGCACAAAAAUAUCUCCUUAAAAGCUCCAAUUAGAUAAUUUUUAUCUUAUUUUGAAUCAUAUUCAAAAAGAAAAAAAUAUGGAUGAGAGAGAGUCCUAGAUAAGGUGGGGCACCAAUUAUUGGCGCCCCCUCUCCUUCGUGCAUGUGAAAACAAAAGUGGCAAGAAAAACCAUCACCCCACUUCUUUCUUGGCAUGAUUUCUAGAGAGAGAGUCCUAGGGGAUCAAGACUCUCUGAAUAAAGAUUCAUCUAGUUCAAAUAGGACCUCAAUCGGAUUCAAAUCGAGUCUAAAAUGAGCCAAAUUCAAAAAAGACUGUCAAUCCUGAUUCAAUCAAGCCUAAAAUUCAAAUCUGAUUUGGAUAAUUGAAUCCAAUCAAUAUUAAAUUAAAUUAAAUCUAAUUAAAUUAAAUCUAAUUUAAAUUAAUUAUAAAUUAAUUCAUAAUUUAAUCAGCUCUAAAAGAAAUUAUAAUAUUUGUAAUUAAGUCC